GUGGGGAAUCUUCCGCAAUGGACGAAAGUCUGACGGAGCAACGCCGCGUGAGUGAAGAAGGUUUUCGGAUCGUAAGCUCUUUCGUUAGGGACGAACGUGCUCUUUGUGAAUAAUGAGGAGUAAUGACGGUACCUAAAUAAGAAGCCACGGCUAACUACGUGCCAGCAGCCGCGGUAAUACGUAGGUGGCAAGCGUGGUCCGGAAUUAUUGGGCGUAAAGCGCGCGCAGGCGGGAUAUCAAGUCUGUCUUAAAAGUGCGGGGCUCAACCUCGUGAGGGGACAGAAACUGGUAUUCUUGAGUGUCGGAGAGGAAAGUGGAAUUCCAAGUGUAGCGGUGAAAUGCGUAGAGAUUUGGAAGAACACCAGUGGCGAAGGCGACUUUCUGGACGAUGUCUGACGCUGAGGCGCGAAAGCUAGGGGAGCGAACGGGAUUAGAACCCUGGUAGUCC
rnacentral:rRNA from 1 species